AUUGAACGCUGGCGGCAGGCUUAACACAUGCAAGUCGAGCGAGCGGCGGACGGGUGAGUAAUGUCUGGGAAACUGCCUGAUGGAGGGGGAUAAAUACUGGAAACGGUAGCUAAUAACGCAUACCAUCAGAUGUGCCAAGAUGGGAUUAGCUAGUAGGUGGGGGAAUGGCUCACCUAGGCGACGAUCCCUAGCUGGUCUGAGAGGAUGACCAGCCACACUGGAACUGAGACCCGGUCCAGAAUCCUACGUGAGGCCGCAGUGGGGAAUAUUGCACAAUGGGCGCAAGCCUGAUGCAGCCAUGCCGCGUGUGUGAAGAAGGCCUUCGGGUUGUAAAGCACUUUCAGCGAGGAGGCGUUACUCGCAGAAGAAGCACCGGCUAACUCCGUGCCAGCAGCCGCGGUAAUUC
rnacentral:rRNA from 1 species